GUGUAGCGGUGAAAUGCAUAGAUAUUACUUAGAACACCGAUUGCGAAGGCAGCCUACUACCCAUAUACUGACGCUCAUGGACGAAAGCGUGGGGAGCGAACAGGAUUAGAUACCCUGGUAGUCCACGCCGUAAACGCUGGACACUAGCUGUGGGUGAUAUGUACAUCACGUGGCGUAAGCGAAA
rnacentral:rRNA from 1 species